AAUUAAAUGUUAGGGAAAACUUCAAAACCCCCACGUGAUUUCGCAUAUUUUCAUUUUAGUAUCCUGUGUUUUAACGUGUAUCAAGUUAGUACCCUGUGGUUUCGCACUUUCUCACUUUGGUACCAUGUGGUUUCAAAUGUAUCAAGUUAGUACUCUGUGGUUUCAAAUGUUUCAAGUGCAUCAAGUUAGUACCUAUAUUUUUAAAAGUACCAAGUCAUUAGUGCUUGUAAAUUUUUGGCCCUUGGAUUAAGGGAUGUGCGGUUAGGAUGAAUUGGGCCCCCUUAGUGUUGAGUGAGUGGUUGGUUGAAUAGUAUAAUCUAACGGAUAAAAAUGAUCAAAAGUAUAGAUCUAACGGUAAAAAUUUACAAGCACCAAGUGCUUGGUGCUUGUACAAGCACCAUAGCCGGACUAUAUAUAUAUAUAUAUAUAUAUAUAUAUAUAGAAUUAGGCUGGAAUACUAUUAAUAGUAAAACGCUCUUUUUACUAUCAAGUUUUUACCUCGAAGAGUUUCUUUUAUUUUUCUUGAUUGAGGACGUCAUUGCAGUCUAAGAGAGGUUGCAGAGAGGGGGUGACACUCUGAAGACACAAACACUGGCGAUAGCAACAUGGUGGACGAUCUGACGUGAAAGAAAUAAUGUUAUUUUUAAAAAUUUAUCUACUAACACUAUUUUUAUUGCCCAAUGUGUUGGAAAAUUAGUAACGAAAUGGACUGAGUUAUGUUAAGCUGGGUGAUAUCUGUUAAAUAUAAAAAUAUAUAAAUAUCGUUUUCUAACAGAAGUUUUUAGAGUACAACAAUUGUUUUACAUGGUAUCAGAGCAAGAGGUCCUAAGUUCGAGUUAUGCCAGACUCUUAAUAUUAUUAAUUUCCUCCUAUUUAAUUCAAGUCCACGUAAUGGACCUUACAAAAAGUCUCGAACUCAGAUGUGAGACUAAGCUUUUAGAGUACAACGGUUGUUUUACAAUAUCUCCAUCUUUUUAAAUAUUCGAUUUGACAUUACAAUCAUUUUUAACUUUUUUAUUACUUUUCUUUUACCUUUUUUUAAGAUCAUUUUCUUUUAAUUUUUCCUUCUCCUGAGACUUCUACUGUCUCACUUUAUGUAACUAAAUUUAUUGCCUGAAUGAAUGAAGCAGAUAGUACUAUGCUAUUUUUUCUAAAAAAAAAAUAUUUU
rnacentral:lncRNA from 1 species